GACGGGGCUCCAUGGCUGGGUGCGGGUUGUUAAUAAAACUUCGACUGAGAUCCUGAGGCUUUUGCUGCAUGAGGACAUCUAGGUGCCCACCCUGGGCUGAGGGGCCGGCCUUGUACAUGUAGUUAGCCAUUACUUUCGACUGGCCGCUGCCGCCAGCUACCCCAGGCAUGGGGGAGCUCUGUGGGCUGAAUGUCUGCUGACCAAAAGAAGGGCUGGGGAUUUUCUCCUGCCCAAAUGGACCUGGUGAUGGUCCAGCAGAAGAGGGCAAGGCUGACCAGUUGGUAGGCUGGUGCUGCUGCUGGUGCUGCUGCAUCCGGGCAUGCUGCUGACGAUUAGCAGCUAUCUGUUUGAGCUGCUGGGCAUGGGAUACUUCCUGCCAGCUUGGCAAGGCCCGGCUUGCUCCGGAGCCUGUCUGAGGCUGAGCCUGGCUCUGAGGGACUGAAGGGAUUGGAGACGAAGUGGAGAGGGCAGAGUUGGCCAUGGAGAAUGCGGGGCCAGCUGAUGGGGGCCUCAGCUGAGGAGAGCCUGAGGGGCCCUGAGUCAAGCCCGCAAGAUGGCACCUUACAAGAUGCCAGCCCCUUGGACUUCCCAGUCUCCAAAACUUGUCGUCAAUUUUCCAUGAGUUCAGGCAGGCCACCAAACAGAUCUCAAAUACACAGAAAACUAUGGAAAAAGAAUAACAAGUAUGGUAUUGUCCACAAACUCAUUGACCAUUCAGUCUCCAUUUUAAUAUACUACACAUACACUGUGUGAGUGUGUCUGAAAGACGGUGGGCAGGGGAGACAGAAGAAACUGUGGGUGUUUAUGGUUAAUAUUAAUCACUUGGAUAAUGAAUAUUAUUAUUAGAAAAUUAGAAUUUUAUAAUUGCAUUAAACCUGAAAAUUAUUAAAUAUAUUGAUCUUUA
ensembl:lncRNA novel transcript